rnacentral:rRNA from 1 species
UUCCGGUUGAUCCUGCCGGACCUGACUGCUAUCGGAUUGGUACUAAGCCAUGCGAGUCGUUGUAGCAAUACAAGGCGGACGGCUCAGUAACACGUAGUCAACCUAACCUAUGGACGUGGAUAACCUCGGGAAACUGAGAAUAAACCGCGAUAGAUCAUUAUGCCUGGAAUGGCUUAUGGUUCAAACAAUUUAUUGCCGUAGGAUGGGACUGCGGCCUAUCAGCUUGUUGGUGAGGUAAUGGCCCACCAAGGCUAUAACAGGUACGGGCUCUGAGAGGAGAAGCCCGGAGAUGGGUACUGAGACACGGACCCAGGCCCUAUGGGGCGCAGCAGGCGAGGAACCUUAGCAAUGUGCGAAAGCACGACUAGGUUAAUCCGAGUGAUUUCUGUUGAAGAAAUCUUUUGUCAGUCGUAAAACCACAGACGAAUAAGGGGUGGGCAAGUCUGGUGUCAGCCGCCGCGGUAAUACCAGCACCUCGAGUGGUCAGGAGGUUUAUUGGGCCUAAAGCAUCCGUAGCCGGCUUUGCAAGUCUCCGGUUAAAUCCAGCUGCUCAACAGAUGGGCUGCCGGAGAUACUACAAAGCUAGGGAGCGGGAGAGGUAGACGGUAUUCGGUGGGUAGGGGUAAAAUCCACUGAUCCAUCGAGGACCACCAGUGGCGAAGGCGGUCUACCAGAACGCGUUCGACGGUGAGGGAUGAAAGCUGGGGGAGCAAACCGGAUUAGAUACCCGGGUAGUCCCAGCUGUAAACGAUGCAAACUCGGUGAUGCAUUGGCUUAUGGCCAAUGCAGUGCCGCAGGGAAGCCGUUAAGUUUGCCGCCUGGGAAGUACGGACGCAAGUCUGAAACUUAAAGGAAUUGGCGGGGGAGCACCACAAGGGGUGAAGCCUGCGGUUCAAUUGGAUUCAACGCCGGG